rnacentral:rRNA from 1 species
ACGGGUGAGUAAUACAUCGGAACGUAUCCUGGAGUGGGGGAUAGCCCGGCGAAAGCCGGAUUAAUACCGCAUACGCUCUGAGGAGGAAAGCGGGGGACCUUCGGGCCUCGCGCUCAAGGGGCGGCCGAUGGCGGAUUAGGUAGUUGGUGGGGUAAAGGCCUACCAAGCCGACGAUCCGUAGCUGGUCUGAGAGGACGACCAGCCACACUGGGACUGAGACACGGCCCAGACUCCUACGGGAGGCAGCAGUGGGGAAUUUUGGACAAUGGGGGCAACCCUGAUCCAGCAAUGCCGCGUGUGUGAAGAAGGCCUUCGGGUUGUAAAGCACUUUUGUCCGGAAAGAAAUCAUCGGGGCCAAUACCCCUGGUGGAUGACGGUACCGGAAGAAUAAGCACCGGCUAACUACGUGCCAGCAGCCGCGGCAAUACGUAGGGUGCGAGCGUUAAUCGGAAUUACUGGGCGUAAAGCGUGCGCAGGCGGUGCUGUAAGACCGAUGUGAAAUCCCCGGGCUUAACCUGGGAACUGCAUUGGUGACUGCAGCGCUGGAGUAUGGCAGAGGGGGGUGGAAUUCCACGU